rnacentral:rRNA from 1 species
CCUACGGGGUGCAGCAGUGAGGAAUAUUGGUCAAUGGCCGUAAGGCUGAACCAGCCAAGUAGCGUGAGGGAAGACUGCCCUAUGGGUUGUAAACCUCUUUAUGAGGGGAUAAAGGUGUCCACGUGUGGAUGUUUGCAGGUACCGCAUGAAUAAGGACCGGCUAAUUCCGUGCCAGCAGCCGCGGUAAUACGGAUGGUCCGGGCGUUAUCCGGAUUUAUUGGGUUUAAAGGGAGCGUAGGCGGGUCUUUAGGCGUGCCGUGAAAUUUUGGGGCUAAACCAUGAGAGUGCGGCGCAAACUGGAGACCUGGAGUGCGCGGAAGGCAGGCGGAAUUCGUGGUGUAGCGGUGAAAUGCGUAGAUAUCACGAAGAACCCCGAUUGCGAAGGCAGCCUGCCGCAGCGUUACUGACGCUGAGGCGCGAAAGCGCGGGUAUCGAACAGGAUUAGAUACCCGAGUAGUC